GAACAGGAGAAAUUGCCAAAUUCAAGUGUUGGAUGAGGUCCCACAUGGGCUGGCAGCUUCAGGGCAUGGGAGGUCAUUGCCCAGAGGAGGGGAGGGGGAAGCUUGGUGGGGUGGUACCCAGACAGACUCCCAGGCCUGCUCUCCAGGCCAUCCAGCCCCUCUGGACUGUGCCCUGCUCACUCAAACAAGCUAGAAGUGCUGGGCAAGCUCAGUCCAGCCAUGAGCAGAUGAGAGGAUCAUAGGAGUGGAAAGGAGACUAAAGACCUUUCAACCCAUCUCAAAUGUGCUUUCCUGGAGCCAACCUGCCGGCUGAGCAGCAGUGAAUCCUGUCUCCCUGUUGAUUGACUGUGUAUAUGCUGGCAUCCAGGAUGGAGACAGAAGAAAGUGAGACCCUGAUUGAUGAGGUGGAGGAGAUGAGUGGAAGAGCAACAGGACAGCAGCUGGACUCGUUUUUUCCUGACAACACCGUGACCUGGGAGACUUGUCCACCCGGAGAGAGACAGGAGAGGAUGCAAAGGCUGGAGGGACCCAGAGCAGCCCAGCAGAGGCAGGAGCAGGCCUUGCAGUUUCAGAGCAGCCCUGCGAGGGGAGCUUUAGCCCAGCUCAAAUACCGAAUCCAGUCAGCCACUGACCUAAACCAGGCUUUCUUACAGGAAGCAUUUAGCUGGCAACAUAGGACGUACCAGGAAGUGCAUCUGACACAGAAAAGUCAGUAAAACUAUUACUUCUGGAUGGGUCUACGAGACAUCUUAGGAAAAAUGAAGCUGUGCCACUGUGGCACUGAGGUUUCCAGCUCCUCCCCACCAGUCCUGAGAUAGAGAAGACAGAAGCACUUCCUCUUAAGGUUUCCAAUUUUAGCUUGGCUUCCUACGGAAACAAGCUUCAUGCAAGAACCUGCAUGGAAACUUUCCUCCAUGCCUCCCAUGCAAGGAGUACCUCCAGCUUUGCACCCUGGCACUCUCGUCCCCAGAGCAGGGGCUGCUGCAGCACCAGCUCAUCCUGCCCUGGCUCCCAGAAUAGCAAGAAGCUGUGGUUCCUACAGAUACCAAGUUGUUACAGUACAUCUUUACUGGGAUCUAUGUGUGCUGGCCUGCAGAUUCUUCUUUCUUCUACUCACAGAGAUGACUGCCCCAUUCAGGAUUUUUAAAAUAAAAUUUGGAGAAUAUUAUUGAAAAGGCACAGGCAGAGCAGGGAAGAGACUAUCAGGGUGUGGGCUGCCAGGCCAAUCCUACUGUACGGUACCUGCUUUGGAACAGACAGCUUGGGAAGGGACUCAUCUGGGAACUCCACACACAAAGCUCCUUUCCUACUCAGAAACCACCCUUUAAGGAGCAAUACAGAAGUGGUGGUGACAGGUAUGCAAGAAAUUAUGAGACCUCAGCAGAGGUAACCUGAGGACAUGGCUGGCCAGAGGCAUGCAGAGAGCACAGGCCCAGAGGGGCAUGCAGGGGGCACAGAGGUGAGUGCAGUUUUAACUGCAGCAGGGAUGUUCAGUGAGACAGAGCAAAAGAGCAAGAAUGGGACUGGAAGCACAGACAACUUUUGUGGAAAUGGGAAAGAUAAGGGGAAGCUGGCAAACCUGGGCACAGAAUAGGGGGGUAGCUGGGCUGGUUAGAGCCACAGGAACAGCAGGUUCUGCAGCACAUGGGACAGGACACUGAGCUGGCCACGAGCAGAGGAGAAGCUGCAGUGACAGGAAUGAGCCUGGCCCAGAAUUCCAGCUGGGAGGACUCAUAACCAUGGUAUUUUACGGAUGUGACCUGAAUUAUCUGAACACUUCAGUGAUUAAGAGUCAAGGAACUUUCAUUGAUUCCGAAGCCAUUUGGAACAUGACUUGAUGGGCAGACAGACAAAAGAAAACCUCAAGGAAUCACAGAAUCACUAAGGCUGGAAAAGACUUCCAAGAUCAUCAAGUCCAACCAUCAACCCAGAGCCACCUCCAAACCAUGUCCUCAAGUCAUCCACAUAUUUUUUGAACACUUCAAGGGAUGGCUCCACCAUUGUCCUGGCAGCCAGUUCCAAUGCCUGACAACCCUUUCCAAGAAGAAAUUUUCCCAAUAUCCAACCUAAACCUCUACUGGCACACCUUGAGGCUGUUUACUCUCAUCCUGUCCCUUCUUCCCUGGGAGCAGAGCUCAACCUCCACCUGGCUGCAUCUUCCUGUCAGGGAGAGAUAACAGAAGGUCUCCCCUGAGCCACCUUUUCUCCAGGCUGAGCCCCCCCAGAUGCUCCUGGUGCUCCAGACCCUUCCCGAACUCUGUCGCCCUUCUCUGGACACACUCCAGUGCCUCAGUGUCUUUCCUGGACUAGGUGGCCACCCCAAGAUUUUGAGGUGGGGCCUCACCAGUACCCAGCACAGGAAGAUGGUCACAGCCCUGGUCCUGCUGGCCACACUGUGGCUGGUACAGGCCAGGUGCCAUUGGCCUUCUUGGCCAUCUGGCUCACAUUCAGCCACUGCUGACCAGCACCACCAGGUCCUUCUCCACUGGGCACCUUUCAGAGCAGGCAGAACUGUCACUUGGACAGGAGCUGGGAGAAGGGAGGCAGACCUGCAGGUCCCUCCUUGUAUGGCUCUGCAGAAGAAUCAGUGUGAUGAGCUGUGUGGGAACAAUAAACACCACACAUGCAGUCUGAGCAGUCCUGGGAGUAAGUGAGGGUGGACAGCAACUCAUUGGCACAGGAAAGCUGCUCCCAGACACAGUGCUCAAACCCAGCCUUGUGCCAGGCUCUCCCCAGUCCAACCAGGACAGGGCUGCCUGGUGACACAGCACUCAGGUGAGAGCCAAAUCACCCUGUCUGGACCAAGUUCCCUCUAGCAGCAAGCCCAGAGCACCCCAUUCUCUGCAACAGGACAUGGUGGAGCACUUCUGACCCUUGUACAAUACGAAGCUCAGGCAGAUAUGUAUUUUACUACAUCUUAAUUCUAUUUAUAUUCCUGUGACUUUUGGAACUCCUUCCUCCUCCCCAAGAUGGGAGAGAAACAUAUAAAGGCAGGAAGCAAAUUAAUUUCCUUUUGAAGUGGUUGAUUUACUUUGCCAAUAUGCACUGACACAGUAACAAAAUGGAAAACAAUAAGCCACUCUAAGGAUGCAGCAUUUUUGGCACAGCAACACAUUGGUGCAUACAGGACUUUUAAAUAAACUUUAUGAACAAUCCAUAAAGUGGUCAGGCAGAUUAAACAAUUUUUGUAGGAAAACUAUCAAGUAAGCAUAGGCAAGCAACAAAAGCACAACUUGGUCUUCUAGCAGCUUCCACACUGCAAUCGUGUCUCAAAGAGGCAGAGGUGGCUACUUGCUGCCAGCUGAGUCCUAGAUCCUGCCUGAAACAACUUCUCUCUGCUUGUGUGACAGAAUUCUGGGUACAACCAAUUUCUUUAUCCUCCAGCAUGAUCCUUUUCUGAUCAUGCUUUUCCAGAUACUGGGAUAAGCAGGGUUGUGGAAGGGAGCUCAUUUUUCAGAGCCACAGCAGGGCUGUGAGAUGAUGAGAAGCUGACUCAGUUGGGUGCUGCAGUGCCCAUGAAGCUCGGGUGAGUCUAGGUGAUGGGAGGCAGGAGGGGAGCAGGCAGUAAAAGGCACCAGGACAUCAUCAGCUCCUCUAGAAGCCAAGAGCAAAACUCAAAGCAUAUAUCAGAGCAAUCUCUCAGUGUGUCCAUCCCAGCACAGCUGCUUCAUGUAGCUCAAGGCUGAGCUGCAUUCUGCCCCUUGGGACCAAGGGGAGUGGACAGAAGAGGGACUCUCCCAGCAGCACUCAUCACCUUGCAGUGUGUCUGGGGGCUUAAAAAUGGGUGUUUUAAAAAUUAGCUUUCUUUGAUUCUUACUGACUUACCUCGUGUGGCUGAAUGUCCCUGGCUGUGAGCUGUCAGUCUAUUUCAUGAACACAUCCCAUGCAGCACUCAGUGCUGCAUGCCACUGGAGGGAUCAGCACAAGCUCAUGUCUCUCCCUGCCUUGCACCUGGACCCCUCACUCCAGUGGGCAUGAGUCAGGACCAGUGUGACCUGCCAGCCUCACCACCUGACCCUGCCAGAGUUCCCCACAGCUUCACAGCUACAGCAUGAUGGCAAGCCACAGCACCACACAAGCAUUUGGCUGCAUUACAAAACAUCCCACAUGCUUUCUGCCCACCAAACAGUUACCCUCUGGCUUCUCAGGUGCCUGCUGAUUUUCCUUCCACUGCUGACCUGGUUCCUGGCUAUAAAAGCCAGAAAAAAAAGUCACAUGAACUUGAUCACAGCAGCACUAUUAGCUCUGUCCCUGUACUGAGAAACAUGUUGAAUCAAAAAGUACAGCUUCAGAUGUGGGACUCUCACAUCCCUUCUCUGGGCCUGCACCAAAACCUUUCUGCAGGCCAUCGAGCUCCAUGGACAGCCCCAGCAGAAUAGUCCUGUUCCCCUCCAAGGUAGGAAGGGAUGUUUUCUGACAGAGUACCCAGAACUCAGGAAGCCAAGACGCAGAAAUGCCCCUAGCCCUGCAAGCAGAGCAGUUAAAUGCUGCAGCACAAAGCUGCCCCUCCUCAUCCUCCUUCCCCCAACAAUGCUCCACAGACCAAAUCUCUCCUUGUACAGGCAUGAAAGCCUUCCCUACACCCUCAGCUAUUGGGAAGCUCUGGGCUGACCCAAGAGAUUCAGGAGCACUAGAAAUGGUGGACAGGAGAGGAAGAGACCCAAGCAGUGCUGCAGGUCACUGGGACACUUUCCUCCAGGACACGAGCUUCUAUGGUUGGUGGCACCAUGGCAAAUGCCACACCACGACAUGCGCCAGUACGGAUCACAGCACUGCCAGCACUGUGCCUCACAAAAUGCCCACUGCUCUUCUGGAUCAGCACAGCACAGCCAGGGCUGGGCAAAGUGGUGAAGAUGGACAGGUAAAGUGGAAGACUAGUGCUGGUGAGUAUCAAGAGUGCAAGGGUAUUUCCUGUUUUGGCCCCAGACAGGCCAUUGCUUUAUGCAGAGCAGUGCCCAGGACUGCACAGAGAAGUGCCAAGAGGAUCUCUCAUGUUGGACCUGUGACCAGCAUCUCCAGACAGCAAACUCAAGUAAAGAGAGAAAGGAAAAGAUUAGAGGGGUGGAACUCAGCUAGAACCAAGAAGGAUUUAUUUUUCACUAGGUCCAGGAGUGUAAAAGAGGUGUGCAUUGAGCAAGGAGAGAGGUGGGCUGGGGAAGGGUAGAGGAACACAGGUCAGACAACAGUGCAAGUGAGUUCAGCAGAAGAGUUUGAGGAAAGCAAAUGGAAAAAAGUCUGUCUGCAAGGAAGAUAAGGCUGGAGGAAGGGUGGGGGAGAGCUUAUAUCACAGCUGAGUUCUCUGAACUGGAGGGGGCACAGUGAGUGCUGCGCCAGGCACUGCGGCCAGAGGCAAAACUUCUUUCCCUAAUAACGUAAGCAGAAGUAACAUCACAAUUCCUGCCUGCCAACCUCCCUUCUUGUGUUCCAGGGACAUCUCUGCAGCACCUCCCACAGCCACAGAAGUGCAGGAGAUGCAGGAGAUGAAGCAGAAGGACUGCACAUGACAGACCCAUGGGAGAUGUCCCCUACUCUGGCGUAACCCGCAGUCGAGCAACUCCUCAGAGAAUUUCAAACAUAUUUUGUUGCGUGUGACAUUGUGUUUGAAAACUGUACUUUUAAAAGACAAAAAAAUAAUCCACUGACCUACAUAAAAUAUGCAGUUUAAAUGAACCAAAAGUGUUAGCAGUCAUUGAAAAGUAAUAAUUAAUCAAAAUUGCACCAUAAAUUCCAAGAAAAACAGCAGGAGCAAAAAUGGUCAGGCUUCUGUACAGCACAGCACUCUUGGAAGGAGGAGCUGUUUUGAGGAGGCAAAGGAACACACCAGAAUCACUAAAGCAGCCCGUUUAUAAAUAAAGCUGUAAAACACACAUUGCUGGAAAACACCAGCUCUGAAGACAUGGAAGCAGAAUUUUCUUGGGACUCCUUGAUGAGAUUUGCCUGCAAGGACAGAAAUAGGGAAACAAAAAGUAUAGCUGGACUGCUCCAACAGUAACUGGUUCACCAGAGAAAUCUUUUUUGGAAUUAGUGAGACGUCUUAAAUGAGUUUUGCCUUAGCAAAGGAAUUAAAUGCUUGCAGAAGCAUUAUGAUCAAGUCUUGCAGUAUACUUGUUAGCUUUCACCAUGAGGGUAUGUUGACUUUCAACCUCCCAGUAAUUUUAGCAAAACCAGAGUCUUUGCUAAAUCUGCACCAGCAGUUUGUGUCCUCUCUCAGAGCACAGCCUGAAACCUCCUGGCUCCUCUCCCUGAUAUUUACAUGAACAAAACCACACCCUUCCCGUGGAGUAUGGAGUGAUCUUUGCUGGGACUGAACAGCUGCUGCUCUGACACCUGCCUGACCUGCAAGCCCGGGACAUUUCCUGAGCUGAUCCCUCCACAUGCCAGGACUGCAAACCAAAGCUGGCUCACAGCAGGGGCAGAUGGCCCCGAACAGGAGUCUUUGGGCUGCCAAGGUGGUGCUUCUCUUCAACACAUUGAGAAACACUCAGAGGGGACAAAAUUAACAACAGCUUGAAACUUUAACUUUACAAGUGGUUAAUGAACUGAAGAGAGAAAUGAGAAGGUGGGUGCCACAGCAAAACACACAAAAUAAGGCUGCCAUGGAAAGGAAAUACUUUUGCUGGUAACCUAGGAAAGUAAAAAUGGGCUGGAGUGGGCUAAGGUACACCAAUACAGACCAACCCACUCAGCCAGGUCCCUCUGUGGGCAGUGGGCUGCAGCCAGGGAGAAGGCCACGAGCUGGCAGAAGGGCUUGUGGCAAUAGAAACACAGCCACACUGUCACCCUUGGUAAUGCCUUCUGGAAAUACACAAUGCAUCCCACACAGUCCCAAAUGCCUCCAUCCACACAGCUCUGCCUGAAAUCCCAGAGGACAAAGUAUCUCCAGUG